UGGCUGACUGUACAAAGGUAUAAUCAUUUCUUGCAUUUACUCAAUGAUUUGUAGUCAUGUAUGUCAUUUUUCUAAUUUAUUUUUCGUAGUUGAUUUUGUGAAUUUGAAAUGUUUUGUUUAGGACGUAAGUUGUUACUGUCAUUGUUUUGAGUGGAAAGAUAGUGAAGUGUUGAUAGUUAGCAUUUCAUUUGUUAUAACUAAUUAGGUUACUGCUCUUGUUUAAUAGGUUGUAUUUAUAAAUGGAAGUAGCGGAAUGGUAUUGGAUUUGCAUCUACAGAGUUAAAGAUUCAAUCUCUCUUUCUAGUGUUUCUAAUAUCUCCCCUUAAGUUUUGUAUCCUUUCAUUAUUUUCUUCCUUUUUUCGGCAUCUCUCUCUCAAAUUUCCUGUCUUCUAAAAUUUCCUCAUUUCGUAAUCUGUCAAAUAUCCUAGUUAGCCUAAUUCUAAAGAUCUUAUAUCCUAACAUUUUGUUAUAUGUAUAUGGAAAUCCAAGAAUUGAGCUUACUCAUCAUAUGACGCAUAAGAAUGACUUAUGGAGAAUAAAAGAAUAAGCUAUUUAGUAAGACCCUCAAAGAGAUGCAAUAUUACAACGGAUAAUUAGCUGCAUAGGCUCUGCUAGUUUGGCCUUUGGGUACUGUCUCCAAGUAUCCUAAUUGGCCAAUCAGGUGCUUAUCUUGUUUUGGUCAAUGAUGGUGUAUUUUUGGACCUGCACCAUGUAACUGUAAAUAAAUCUUACUGAACAUAUUGAAAAGAUAACUAAAUAAAUCCUAGUGAAGCAAAUAACUAAGCAUUGACCAUUUGAAGUUAAGCAACUUGCCUAAUGAUAACUUUUGCUGGUGUUGGUGCAUUGCACAACAUGCUGAGCAAGGAAGUAAAUGAAUGUGCUGACUUAUUUGCUGCAUCUGAGAGUGAUGGAACCUGUUUUCUUUUUACUAAUUAUAUAGUAAUUUUUUUUCCCCUCAAUGCCCUACUCUUGUAAAGGGGGAAAUUUAUGGUAUACUUCAUGUGACGC
rnacentral:misc_RNA from 1 species